GGGGCCGUAGCUCAACUGGUUAGAGCAUCGGACUGUCGAUCCGAAGGUUGAGGGUUCGAGUCCCUUCGGCCUCGCCA
rnacentral:tRNA from 1 species